rnacentral:rRNA from 1 species
CGGCAGCACGGGUGCUUGCACCUGGUGGCGAGUGGCGAACGGGUGAGUAAUACAUCGGAACGUACCUUAUCGUGGGGGAUAACGCAGCGAAAGUUGCGCUAAUACCGCAUACGCCCUGAGGGGGAAAGCGGGGGACCGUAAGGCCUCGCGCGAUUAGAGCGGCCGAUGUCUGAUUAGCUUGUUGGUGAGGUAAAAGCUCACCAAGGCGACGAUCAGUAGCUGGUCUGAGAGGACGAUCAGCCACACUGGGACUGAGACACGGCCCAGACUCCUACGGGAGGCAGCAGUGGGGAAUUUUGGACAAUGGGGGCAACCCUGAUCCAGCAAUGCCGCGUGAGUGAAGAAGGCCUUCGGGUUGUAAAGCUCUUUUGUCAGGGAAGAAACAGCAGCUCUAACACAGACUGCGAAUGACGGUACCUGAAGAAUAAGCACCGGCUAACUACGUGCCAGCAGCCGCGGUAAUACGUAGGGUGCGAGCGUUAAUCGGAAUUACUGGGCGUAAAGCGUGCGC